AAUAAGCGUAUAUUAAAGUUGUUGCGGUAAAAAGCUCGUAGUCGGAUCUGUGGUCUGGACGGUGCCGGACCACCCUGGCGGUCCGUCGUGUCGCGGCCGGCCGUGUCGCGGGAACCACGUGUCCCGUCGGCGCGGUCGCCGUCGCGCUCGUCAGCCGUCUCGGGGUGUUAGUUACCGGCACGUCGGCCCGGACGUAUUGUCGGCAGGCGGACACGUGUCUCGUGCUUCCGGCGCGCCGCGCGGCCACGCGUCGCGCGGCCGUCGGUGUUCGACGACGGCGGCCGCCUACUCCAAUCUUGCUGCGCGGUGCUCUUCACCGAGUGCCGUCGGCGGGCCGACACGUUUACUUUGAACAAAUUAGAGUGCUCAAAGCAGGCUCGAAUCUGGCGGGGCGGCUUCACGGCCGUCUCGUCAAAAGGCCCUGAAUACUGGUCGCAUGGAAUAAUGGAACAAGACCUCGGUCCCGCGCAUCUCCGCCCUUCGCGGGCGCGCGAAAUCGCCCUCCGGGGCGUUUCCGUGCGCGGGCCGCCGGGCCGCGGGCGCCAGUCGCCCGCGCGUCCCGCCGGGCCGGUUUUCGGGACCGGAGGUAAUGAUCAACAGAGACGGGCGGGGGCAUUCGUACCGAGACGUUAGAGGUGAAAUUCUUGGAUCGUCUCGAGACGAACUGACGCGAAAGCAUUUGCCAAGUACGUUCUCGUAUGAUCAAGAACGAAAGUUAGAGGUUCGAAGGCGAUCAGAUACCGCCCUAGUUCUAACUGUAAACGAUGCCAGCUAGCGAUCCGCCGGCGUUUCAUUAACGACCCGGCGGGCAGCUUCCGGGAAACCGAAGCUUUUCGGUUCCGGGGGAAGUAUGAUUGCAAAGUUGAAACUUAAAGGAAUUGACGGAAGGGCACCACCAGGAGUGGAGCCUGCGGCUUAAUUUGACUCAACACGGGAAACCUCACCAGGCCCGGAAAGAAUGACAGAUUGAGGGCUCUUUCGUGAUUCGGUGGGUGGUGGUGCAUGGCCGUUCUUAGUUGGUGGAGCGAUCUGUCUGGUUAAUUCCAAUAACGAACGAGACUCUGUCCUGCUAACUAGGCGGGUAAACUCGGGUCGGCGUGUGCGCGGCGCUGGCGGUUUUGGCCGUCAGUGUUCGCGUACCCGUCGGCUCGGCCCGGUAUCCCCGAACGCGUUCGCCCGUCAUCCACGACGGUCGUCGGGCGCGGCCGCGCCAUCAGCGUCCCGGCGUUCGGCGGGCGUAUGUCAGCCGGGGGGAAACCUCUGGUCGGCCUACAUCCGUCGUGCGUCGGGCUCCGUGGUGAAGCGCGUCGUGUUCGCGGCCGUCGACGGCGGAUCACGAUACGUUACUAGGGCUACCGCCGGCUCCCAGGAGCUUAAACUCUUCUUAGAGGGACAGGCGGUGGACGAAAAUAGCCGCA
rnacentral:ncRNA from 1 species